ensembl:lncRNA
GGGUGUGUGUGGGGAGGGAACGCCUGGCAGGAGGUCACCAAACGGCUCCCGACUAUCACCGUGGGUCACGCGUCUCGGGGGCCACGGCUGUGUACACACACCCCCCCCACACACUCCACACACCCCACCAUCUUAUCCCCCUUCUGCUUUAGUGGUCCAAGUGGAGGCUAGCUCAACCUUACACUCACACACGUACACACACACACACACACACACACACACACAUACACACACACACACACACACUUGCUCACACUCAACACACCCAGUGAAUAGGGCGGUUGAGAGGACCGAAACACUGUGAAGUAGAGGCAGUGCUCCUGCGGGCAGUGUGUUGGUCUCUUCAGAGACAAGGUUGAACGCCUCUGCACAGCUGACAGAAUCCAGCUGCCUGGCUAAGAUGAAUGGCGAGUGUGUAAAGGAGUUGACACCACAACACUUACUGGGAGGCAGCGCAAGCGGCCCCGGGUGACCUGCGAUUCAAGCCCCAGAUUAUGGUUGUUCAUUGUUUGUUUCUCUACUUCGCUGUAGUUGAGCCGCAGACUAUCGCAGUGGCGUGCACACAGAGUAAACCGUUCUCCUGCCAGGCAGAUUGAUCAGAUCUGAUUAGACUCGUGUGAGCUGUCCGAGCUGAGUGAUUCUCAUAAACAUGUCUUUAAUUACAGCAUCUUUGAGCAUAUAAAACCUAGUUCUUGUUGAGUGGCCAUCAUUUGUAGACAAUAAACGUCUCAAGUCGUAAGCAUAGCGUUCAAUGUAAAGUUUAUCGUUAUGCAUAUUUACACUGUUGUAUUUAUUCCAUUAUACACUCCUCACUCUUGUAGCGACAUCCCUACUUACUCCCUAUUUAUUGAAUAAUUCAUAACAGUUACUAUUACCAAUAACUUGCUUAUAAGACAUAUAAUUUAAUAGUAAGCCACGACUUAAAGGGGUUAGUGUAUCGAUAGCUAUGCAAUAUGAGCAAUUUGUAGAUUUUGCGGUCUAAAACAGUCAUCUGUCUCGUUUUUUUCUGUUCCCAUGAUCCUGAAAGUAUUAAUGUAUUAUUCAAACGUAACUCCAGGAGAAAUUAAUCAAGACCCAUUGAACCACUGGUGUGUCAUGGGGCUUGGAUUCAAAUCCUGUUUUCCACUGCCUGGAAAAUUACAAAUUUAAACCAGCCUUUCAUCACCGGUUGUUAUUCAGAUUUACCUUUAAUGUGCGUAGGGUAUAUAAAUCUAGGUCUAAAUGAUUCAUAAACAUAACCUCCUAAAUACCUACUGGAAUGCACACAUGAAACUCUUUUUCAACUCCAUCUUUUUUUUUUUUUUUUUUUUAAAUUUAUUUAACAUGUACAUUUUAAAUUUGUAUCCAAAGAUUAAAAAAAAAAAAAAUCAUGUUUCUUUUUAUUUUCUAUAUGAUUAUACGCCCUGUAUAUUACAGGCGGUGUUUUGUCUUGGGCGGUGAUCAAUCAGAGUGUGGUAUAUGACAGAAUUUCAGUUUCCACAGUUGCUCAGAAUAAUGAAAGACUUGCUGUUGCUGCUGGCUCUGAAAUGAGGCCUUUAGUGACAGAGCCAAACCACCCUGAGCACGAGACCUUCAGCUGGCUUUUUAUAAAUGCAUUGACAAGCAGCACAGGUAGAUUUGAACCGAUCUUGCCCUGUUCCAUUUUCAUAAAGAUUUGUAUAUGUCCUGCUAACAGCCAAUGAAGCACAAAUUUUUUUUUUCUCAGCAUGGCGUAGGUCCUGCUGUUGCUGAUGUGAUCGCGGACUGGUCAGAGCUCGAACAAAGAGGUUUUGGGCUUCACAUGAACAGCAGACCGUCAGAUGCUUAUUGGACAAUCUGCCCUGACUCCAGAAGACCGCCUCUCCAGGUUUUGUCCCUCGGGGUUGAUGUGGGCAAGUUUCCUGUGCCCUCUGAUGGAGUUCUGGGUGGCUGAAAUCCCCUUGGCGUGUAUACAGAAGCUCCCUGGAAAGCUCGAUAUCCGUGGUACAGUCCAGCGGAAUCAGGAAGCGGCGAGGCUGUCUACUCAGCACGUAUUUGCAUGCGACGCAUAUCUGAGCCCGGAAUGCCAGCUUUCCGCCUCUCAUUAGGCAAAAGAGGGGGAGUCCGCAUCGCAUCUCUUGCCACCCCCCACCCCUUGCCCGCCCCUCUCCCUCCCCUCGCAGACAUGCGUUCAAACCACACACACACACGCACACACCUCUCUUGGUGGAACAGAUCCUCAGCAGUGUCGUGUGUGUGUGUGUGUUUAUGGAACUUGUAGAGCAGGUUGUUCUUAAGCAUGGGUGUCACGUGAGCACGCUGCAAGCCAACGGUGGUUCCUUUCUGCAACGCAACAAGUGGCAGAGUCAGCAGCGCGCAGUCAUGCAGCACCACCAGCGCUGGCACCAUGCCAGACCUGCCAUCUGUCUCCUCCACACGCUUUGCCCCCCACUCCCAUCACUUGACCGUGCAUUUCGUAAUAUUCCGUUUCCUGCCAUCCCUACGGCAUGUUGGAGGCUUGUUCCACACGCCUCGCCCCCGCCGUGAUAAAUGGCUCUCCAGGGACCAGGUGGCAUAAUGCCAAUGCCACUCCGGUGCCACAUGCACAACAAAGCAGUGCUCAUAUAUAUAUACAUAUAAAGCACAUACACACAUGCACUUAAAACCCCUCGUCCAGAAAUAGUCCAUAUCUCCUGGUACCCUCAAGGUUCUCCAUUCUCCUGGUUCUUGGUGGAGGUUUUCUCUCCUCCUAUUCCAGUGCGUGUCCCGUUGAGGAUGCUGGCACCUUAACACACCCCACCACUGCGUUCCUCAUUGGGGUG